CAGUAGCCGCGGUAAUACAGAGGGUGCGAGCGUUAAUCGGAUUUACUGGGCGUAAAGCGUGCGUAGGCGGCUUCUUAAGUCGGAUGUGAAAUCCCUGAGCUUAACUUAGGAAUUGCAUUCGAUACUGGGAAGCUAGAGUAUGGGAGGGGAUGAUAGAAUUCCAGGUGUAGCGGUGAAAUGCGUAGAGAUCUGGAGGAAUACCGAUGGCGAAGGCAGCCAUCUGGCCUAAUACUGACGCUGAGGUACGAAAGCAUGGGGAGCAAACGGGAUUAGAUACCCCAGUAGUCCCUGUCUCUUAUAA
rnacentral:rRNA from 1 species